AAUUAGGAAGCGAAUUAUUGCUUUUAGUUUCGACCUAAAUUUUUGGCCCUUAAGCCCCUAAUUU
rnacentral:tRNA from 1 species